rnacentral:lncRNA from 1 species
GGGGGGGGGCAGAUAUAUGUAGCUCACUGUACACGACACAGGGCAAAGGAAAUCCGUGUUCAGUAACUAUGUUAAAUGCCAUGUACGUAAAUUUUACAACGCUACUCGUUCGAAGCGCGCACAGGUGCAUAUUGAAGAAAAGUUUCCAGGGUAGAUAAUUUAGUUCGUAAUUUACACUAAUUUUGCUCUAACCACGAGACAUAAUAAUUUGAAUAUACUGCACGGAAAAACCUAGAGCGAAUUAAAUUGUGUGUCAGCUUCGUGUGUAUACAUAUAGUCUUUCCUAUGCAUUAGGUUUUUUGCGUAAUGCAUUAGCAGUUGACAGCCUAUCUUAUGAUGUGUACUCUGUUUACAUUACAGUUGUUUAUUAGUUUACUCGUUUGUUUUGCGACUGAUGAAAUGCCAGCAUAUAUAUAUUUUCCACAUUUGACAUAACCCUGUAUGUUUUGCAGGGACAACCCAGGACGUGCAUUUCUCAGCACCCAGUCAACUGCCAAAAGUGACUCAAACACAGGCCACCAGUGGAACUCGGCUGUACCACUGCAGUGCUGCAGAAAUUGCCUUCACCAGCGGCUUUGCAACAGCUGUUUCGCAGCAUGUCGGAGACAAUGCCUACGAAAUUAUUGGCCCUGAUCAUGAGAGCCCUCAAGGGGCAAACAACAUCUCUGUUGCAGAAGUGAGCCCGAUACCACUUGGAAGUUACCAUGACAGAUGACACGGCAGCAAUAGAUACAGAGACUGCCAUGUCUACUGCAGCUGCAACAGUGUACGAGGCAAGCAGCAGCGCGUCAGCAUCAGCAGCAGUGUCAGAAGGAACCACACCAGGCCUGGUAGAGCAACAUGUGUGCUAUCACUGACUUUUUUUGUAGUGGAUACAACUCAUUUGCUCAACAUACAAAAGCUUUUCACCACGACAGUGAGCCAGUGUUAUUGUGCAGCAAGUGCAAGACUAAGUUAGGUGUUAUAACACAGUACAAGCAUCCCUUUAAUAUAUGCAAAAGCAAACAUAUUACAGUUGUUGCCUCCCCAGCCAGCCCACAUAGUGAUAACAAUGUUGAACACAUGGUGGGACACACCUCUCCCCCAUUACAAGAUAGUAGAGACUGUCAGUGUUGUUGCUAGAUUGACUGGUCUUUGUAGGCAACUAGAAGGACAACACAGGUGUCAUAAGAUCGUUGUUGAUGUUGUUGUUGAAGAGGUAAAAAAGAAGUUUGAUGCAGCUGAAGUGCCAACUGAUAUUGAGCAAAUCAGAAGCAACCACCUGAGAAAGCAACACUAUCGAAAUUUGGGUAUCUAUGUGCCGCCAACUCUGGUAAGAAUGGCAUAGGACAGAAGUGUGAUGAAAAUCACACAGACACUGCUGUUGCAUCACUGGCCACAGUGAGCAGCGACUUGUAGGGCAAGAGAGUCAACUGAAACUAACAUUAUGAUAUAGUGUCAUGCUCCCAUGUGACCACUUUUCAAGUUAUUUUGCAAGAUACAGCUCAACCUCCAGAAACGAGACUGCAACUUGUCUGUAAAAAAGCUUUCACAAAAAAUUAUUCAUAACACUAUUAACAUAGCAGUAUCUUUUUUUUUGUGUCGGUUCGAGGCUCCCGGCUGUCCAUUAAUGCAAAAAUUGAGGAAAAAAAGAACAUGUGUCGUACUGACACCUUUUUAACAAGUACGAGGGGGACAGAACUUUUCUAGUCAUGCAUCUUCAUCAUACUAUCAAGUUUUUAAAUGCCUUUUAUAAUUAUUAUUACCAGUUAUAUCUGAGUGCAUUUUUUGCAUGUAGCAGAUGUAAAAUCAGGUCAGUUGGAUCAGAUGCCUUAUCUGCAAGCGAGCCCUAUAUUCAAGAAAUUUGAAUUAAAAUAGUUAUGUUAGAGACGCAGUCUUUCAGCACUUUAUUGCCUGUGGUUUAAGCAUUGCUCAAUACUUUUGUGGGUGGCGAUUUCAACCGGCACGGCACUGCGCUUUGCCACAGUCACAUUUGUCUUCAAAGCGGUGCUUACCAUUUGUGUUGAUCUGUUUGUGUAUGCAUAGAGCAAGUUUUUAAUUUAUAUUUUUCUGCAUUCUUGUGCUUGCACCAAGCUUGCAUAAGGCAGUUACAAAAUGUGGGUCACUAUAACAAACUGUUCUGUUGAGCUUACACUUGCAAAUAAUCGUGUUCAGAUGGCCGCACUUCUAUGCGGGUGCACCGCUAGCUUUGUGUAUGUUCUCAUGUUUGUAUAAAGCUUAUAUAAGCUAGUUAGAAAAUGUAUGUCACUAAGCAUUGUGAUAUUCUUUAAAGAACUGCUUGGUUGGUUUUACACUUGUGAAUUAGUAUUGAGGCGGUGGUAUUCCCAUGUAUGCCCACUGCUAGCUUUCUGUGUCCUCACGUGUUUGUAUUAAGUUUCUACAAGGGAGUUACAGCAUGUACGUCACUAAGUGCUGUGAUAUUUUUUAAAGAACUGCUUUGUUGGUUUUACGCCUGUGAGUAACAGUGCUCGGGUGGCACUAGUCAUGUGUAGGUACACAGGGACCAUUUGUAUACAUUAUGCUCAUGUAAAGCAGUUACAAAGUGUAUGUCACUAAUUACUGUGAUAUUUGUUGAAUUGCUGUGAUGGUUUUACACAUGUGAAUAAUAGUGGUCAGGACACAGUACUUGCGGUGUAUAGUUGAAUUUAUACACUGCCAAGACAUGGGCUGUAUACGUA